GGAUCCAGACUUUGAUUAUGGCUCAGGACGAACGCUGGCGGCGUGCUUAACACAUGCAAGUCGUACGAGACGAUUGAAAGCUUGCUUUUGAAAGUCGAGUGGCAAACGGGUGAGUAACGCGUAGACAACCUGCCGUAAAGAUGGGGACAACAGUCCGAAAGGACUGCUAAUACCGAAUGUUGUGGAACUUCCGCAUGGGGAGCUCCCACUAAAAGAUGGCCUCUACUUGUAAGCUAUCGCUUUACGAUGGGUCUGCGUCUGAUUAGCUAGUUGGUGGGGCAACGGCCUACCAAGGCGACGAUCAGUAGCCGGUCUGAGAGGAUGAACGGCCACAUUGGAACUGAGACACGGUCCAGACUCCUACGGGAGGCAGCAGUGGGGAAUCUUCCGCAAUGGGCGCAAGCCUGACGGAGCAACGCCGCGUGAGUGAAGAAGGGUUUCGACUCGUAAAGCUCUGUUGUCGGGGACGAACGUGGAGAUGGUGAAUAACCAUUUCCAAUGACGGUACCUGACGAGGAAGCCACGGCUAACUACGUGCCAGCAGCCGCGGUAAUACGUAGGUGGCGAGCGUUGUCCGGAAUUAUUGGGCGUAAAGGGAGCGCAGGCGGGAGAUCAAGUCUAUCUUAAAAGUGCGGGGCUCAACCCCGUGAGGGGAUGGAAACUGGUCUUCUUGAGUGCAGGAGAGGAAAGCGGAAUUCCUAGUGUAGCGGUGAAAUGCGUAGAUAUUAGGAGGGAACACCAGUGGCGAAGGCGGCUUUCUGGACUGUAACUGACGCUGAGGCUCGAAAGCGUGGGGAGCGAACAGGAUUAGAUACCCUGGUAGUCCACGCCGUAAACGAUGAAUGCUARGUGUAGGAGGUAUCGA
rnacentral:rRNA from 1 species